GCUUCCUCCGGGAUCAAUCACCCUUUCUCCCCUCCACCUUGGAUCGGAUCCCGAUGGAAACUCAUCAAGGCCUCCUAAGUGGUCAGAGAGAUUCUGUACCCUUGGUGAGAGUCUUUGGUAAGGGGACAGCUGAUGAAUAUGAAUGGAAAGACAGCUGACACAAACCAGCAUGUCAGGUGAAGCUGGUGUUGUUUUGCUACCUGCUAGAAGAGGAGAAAAUUUUCACAUUUCUAGAUGGUGCAGCAACAGUGAUGGAACUUGGAGGUUUGAAGUACUCAAAACUUAUUUUUACAAUGAAUAUUUGCUGAAUUUCCAUGAAUGUUAAAACUCUUCUUUGAAUCUCCAGAAUAUUGAGGAAGAUUUUCCAUUGAGCACAUGUUUCUGUCUGUUGGUUUUAUUUUAAGAACACGGCAGUGGAGAGGAUUGAGUAAAGUGAAGAUGCAAAGACAAGCAAGGGACAAGGAACAAAUCACAGCAGCAAAUCUUGGAGGAGUGUCUGAGAAAAAGUUUAUUCCACAAAGUGGCAGCAUUAAUGCGUCAAGAGUGGAAAGGAACCUGAGACAAAUACCUUGGAUGGUGGGAGGUGUCUGGAAGCCCUUGUGAAUGAUGGUAGACAGCAUAUGGUGUGUGGGUGUCCACUGUGAUCUGUUUCCCCCCAGCAGCACAUGAACGGUACCCAGUCUCAAAGUCAUAUUUCCUCUUAGUCAUAGUUCUAACUUCUCUUCACUUUUAUCCUUCAUGCCCUCCUGAAAUCAUACAUUUGAAAUGGUUUCUGCUCUGUUCUAAGCAUUUAAUUCCUGGAAAGAUAUCAACACACCAGAGGGGACUUUUAAGAGGAGUGAGAAAGAAAAGCUGUGGAGGUGAUUCAUAGUAACAAUGGUAAUUGUGAUAACAGUGGUUGCUGCCCAUUGCCUAGCAGCAAUUUCAACAUGUGUCCUCACCAGUAUCUAUUUUUAAAAGGACAUUCUUUAUUGUGUAACAGUAUGUUUGUGUAUUUAGCAAGAUAUAGAAAGGAAAAGGGGGAAUGACUGAAGGUCCUGAUAGAGCUUAGAAAAAGGAGAGAGGAGGGGAGGAGAUAAAAUGUUUUAAAUACAUGUGUUCAAGAAUUAUCAAAAAGAAAAAAAUGUGGGAGAAAUAUUAAUAUUAAUAUUAUUUAUUAAAUCCCUUCAAUUUUGAAUGUGGAAAUGGUGGAUGAAAAAUUACAGUCAGAUUAAUAAAGUCAGCUGGGUAGAAUAAAUCCUGAACUACAAUUCUGCAACAGCAGAAUUUUCAGGUCUUGCUCUCUCACUCUUACAUCCUUCAGGACAAAAAAUAUGACAGACAUUUAUCCUGGUGUUACUGACAUCACAUUUUGAGAACAAUGGUAGAAUUGAAAAGGAGAUUAGGUCACAGUUUGGCUAACACAACCUCUGUUGUCACUGGUGUUGUGUCAGAAAGAAAGACCCCCUGUCAGAAACCAAAGUGGCUCUGAGUGAGUGGCUGUGAGAGAAAACUUGUUUUCCAUUUGUGUGAUGAGAAAAUCAAACCUGAGAGUGAGAGAAGCAUAAGUAGAGUAGAGCAAAUAAAAACCCCUCAUUUUUUUGUAGAUUCACUGUUUUCUGUGGGUACUAAAAUCCUGCUAUUAAGAUUUAUAAUUGUUCAAGGCUUUAUUGUUUAGACACUUAGAAGUCAUUCACUAACUCAUAUGUUUUAAUUUCAGAGUAAUCAAAUACAAACUAAGAAAUCUUCAUGAACUAAGGAGCGCCUAAUCUCAGAACAUUAAAUCACAGCAAGAAAUUUUGAUUUGAGCAUUCACAUCUUGAACUGAUCGUAAAACUCUUAAGAGAUCUGAUGAUAUGGUCUUUACUCCCACCCAAGAGCAGAUUCACAUAGUUACAUUUGUGUUUUUGUACAUAAAGGGUUAUGGUUAUAGAUGACCAUGUACUAUAUUGUAAAACAUAAUUAACUAACAGAGAUUUAGGGGGAAAAUAAUGAAUUUUUAUGGAUUAAUUAUUACUUCAGGUGAUAUAACUAGUGUAGAAAUAUAGCAAGGAAUUGACUCUAUGCUUCUGAAUUCAUACCUGAAAUUGUCACUAGUUUACUGAAAACACUUAAGUUUUACUUGCAACCACUGAAAGCAGCAGACAGUAUGUUUGCUCUACUGAUAUUUCCAAACUGUGCCUUUACCACCAGUUGGUUUCUAAGCCUUUCCUUUAGUAUUUGUUCAAAUCUUGAGAUCAAUGCCUAUCAAAACAGGAAUGACAUUUCUGGGCAAAACUUACUGAAAAAAUCAUUUAGCACUGUCAUCAUAUAUUAGAGAGUAAACUUAAGUUUGUCAGGUAGCAAGCCUGCUAGAAACACAACAACACAUUGGGUAUGAAAAACAAUUUCAUAUAAACGAUGCACCUAAGCUCAUGACUAUGCAUUGUGGAAGCAACAUGUGCUUUGUGCCUCUAUAGAGUUUUUACUCCAAAAGAUGCAGCCUGUGCCUUGGCAGGGUGUGUGUAUCAAUGUGUGGAACACUUGAUGUGAAAAACAAUCAGUUGUGACAAUCAGCCAGUCAGCAAUCUUGAACCCUUUCCAUCUCUGCUCCAUUUAUGGGCAUCAGUAAAUAAAGCUCUGUUCUUAAAGCUGUGUUUUCAUUUAUUUUUUUCUGCCAGCUAGUGCCAGGCAACUUAGUGGAGCCUUCCAACAUUGCCUCCGUAUGGAAAUAAAUUGAAUCAACAUUGUAUUUUUUCCCCCAGCAUAAAAUGUUCCCUCUCUCUUUCAUACUCCUUUUGCUUCAUGAGAAAACAGCUUCAAAAUAAACAAUUAAAGGGCCCUUGUAAACUUUGCUAUCAGUUACUUAGAUUUGGUUUUGUGUUUAUUUUUUAAUAAAUAGUUACAUUAAAGAGGAGAAGAGGGAGAAAAUCUAGUUCUACAGCUGCUGGUCCUCAGUUCAUUCUCAGAAGAAAACUAAUGGUCUCCAGAUAAAUAUUACAGCUGUUGAAACUUUGAGGAGAUGUUCUUCAGUCUGAUCCUUGCAACUUGAAUUUGGAUUUUAAAAUGGUCUCUUUUUU